UUUUAUGCAACAAACAAGGUGGCUACAUUGAUCGCUGUGUAUGCAAACUGGGGAUUCGCAAGAAUCGUCGGUUGUGGAUGGGGAUGGGCUGGAGGUAUAUGGGUAUACAGUAUCAUUACCUACAUUCCUCUUGAUAUUCUCAAGUUCAUCAUCCGUUACGCUCUCACUGGCAAGGCUUGGGAUAACAUGAUCAACCAGAAAGUGAGCAUAUUUCGGAAACAAAACUUUACCUUAAAUCCAUGUUAGUUGUGAGCUUCAUAGCUCUUUAAUCUUUUGCAGACUGCGUUCACAACUAAGAAAGAUUAUGGAAAAGGAGAGAGGGAGGCUCAGUGGGCACUAGCUCAACGUACACUCCAUGGUCUACCACCUCCAGAAGCAAUGUUCAACGACAAUAAGAACGAGCUCUCUGAAAUAGCAGAGCAGGCCAAAAGGCGUGCCGAAGUUGCGAGGUAAUAAAGUUAAUCCUCUUUGUCAUAUUCUUUAAGAAAAAACAUUGGAUAAUCAAACCAAACUAAACAAGGUAUUGUUUCUUAUUUGUAGGCUGAGAGAGCUUCACACUCUAAAGGGUCACGUUGAAUCUGUAGUGAAGCUCAAGGGGCUUGACAUUGAUACCAUUCAACAACACUACACUGUUUAACCAUUUAUGGGGUUACUAUGAUGAAAGAGCCCUAAUGAGUAACGAAAUAAGCUAUGUAUUCUCCUUAUAUUGGUUUUAAACUAUUUGUAACAAAAAGAGAGCAAAAACAAGAUGUAAAAUAUAUCUUUUCCGUUGGAUGAAAUAUAAUAACACUUGCAAAAAAUCUUCUCUCGGUCCUGGUUUAGAUUAUUAGGGUUGAAAACAUAUUAAACUUGUCGUCUUUAUUUUCAAAACCUACUUCGACAUUAAAUAUAAAUUAAUACUCUAAAAUAUAUAGUAAAAA
rnacentral:sRNA from 1 species